GAUGAACGCUGGCGGCGUGCUUAACACAUGCAAGUCGAGCGGAGAGGCUCCUUCGGGGGUACUCGAGCGGCGAACGGGUGAGUAACACGUGAGUAAUCUGCCCUGUGCUCUGGGAUAGCCACCGGAAACAGUGAUUAAUACCGGAUACAACCACUAUCCGCAUGGGCUGGUGGUGGAAAGUUUUUUCGGCACAGGAUGUGCUCGCGGCCUAUCAGCUUGUUGGUGAGGUAAUGGCUCACCAAGGCUUUGACGGGUAGCCGGCCCGAGAGGGUGACCGGUCACACUGGGACUGAGACACGGCCCAGACUCCUACGGGAGGCAGCAGUGGGGAAUAUUGGACAAUAGGCGGAAGCCUGAUCCAGCAACGCCGCGUGAGGGAUGACGGCCUUCGGGUUGUAAACCUCUUUCAGUACCGACGAAGCGCAAGUGACGGUAGGUACAGAAGAAGGACCGACCAACUACGUGCCAGCCGCCGCCGUAAAAC
rnacentral:rRNA from 1 species